UGAAAUUCCUUUGAAAUUCUGCAAAGAGGAGAGUCUCUACCACUGCGCCAGGUCCACCCUUCCAUGGAGAUCUGCGUAUACAUACCUAAAAAGUAAAAAAUAGAGGAGGCUGAAAUAGGAUAAAAGGCUUUUGUUAGCAACCAGUUAUAAGCUAAUGCUUUUGGUUAUAUUCUCCUUAUUAGUUGUCCUUCAACAUUACCAAUAGCCACUUGCGACUGAAUUAUUAAAGCUAACGUCAGUGCUACAUAUUCCUGUUUUUACCCACUAUACUGUUUUGCCAGGUUUUCAUGAGGCAUCUGAUCUCCUUCCUGCACCCAGUCCUUGUGCUAAGCAUGCUAAAAGUUUUUUUUGAAACGGAAGCAUGCUAAAAGUUGUGUCCAUGUUUCAAGGAAAUUGAAAUACCAUAGCAACGCUGGCGGUGGUACACAUUUUGUCAGUUGAUGACAGCCAUGCAUGUUGACUUGUUCCUGCCAGUUGUUUCUUCUACUGCUGGGAAGACAUGAGCAAGAGUACCACGUCAAGCAUAGAAGUCAGCAGAAAUCAAGUUGGCAUGGCAGGGAAACCGUGUCCCCCUUGCAACUCUGGAGAUCUGUGGCCGGUGUGAGUAACCUCGUCUCCUGGCUUUGGUAAUGUUGGUGAUUUUGAUUGAUGUUGCUGCUAAGCAGAGAUGCCUAAGAAAAACGAGGUAGGAGAAAAACAACAGAGACUAGAGCUGAGCAAGUCACUUCCAAUUUUGCAGACCUCUUCACCCGUACAGGGAGGCGGGGAACUUGACAAUCAGGACCCUUUCCUUGGAACCGGAACAGAGUCCUGCCUACCGGGGCUGUGCUGAAGCCUGAAUUUCCAUGAUAUCUACAGUCUACCCGGGGCAUUUUCUCGGAGCUUAGUGCUCCCGGAGUUGGGACGAGGUUGGUAUAAUGCUGACCCUGAUGACUACUAAUUGAGGAGGAACAAGUCGCGGCACACCAUGGACACGGAGGCACGAGCAGGAAAGAGAGCCGUACAAGCCACAGCCUUGCGUCUCUCCUUUGAAGCGGUCCUAGGUUUUGUGUUGCCUUACAUGCCAGCCGCUGCUGGCAUGCAGCACCUGGUCAAAUGUCACGCGCACCGGCAUGGGGGGAAACCAAUCCUCAUGAUCUCCGAGCCGUACCAGCUCGCAGUGUGACCUGUCGUGCAGGGAGGUGGCAAGAAGGCGCCAUUUCUUGGAGCCUGCCGGAACGAGCCCGCCGUCAGCUGCAACAAUGACGGACGAGCUGGUGUGGUUUCUCUGAAGUCGGAACAGAAUGCUGCUUCAUCUGUCAGGAUACAGCUGACGGUGAUGCCUGCAUGCUAACCUGCGACCAGCAGCUCCACGUCUCCGUCGCCGGGCGAAGCCGUGCAGCUACCACGCGUGACGACGAGACGGGAUCUCGCGGCACAUCACGCAGACGUAGCCUAGGACGGAUCAGAGUCGGAGAGUUGUGCAAGUCACGGUCUCCCCUUCAUUCCCUCAGGAAUUGAACUCGACCGGGUACCGUGCUGCCCUGUGACACUUGGAACGUUGCACAAGUUUAUCUUAAACUUGCUAGCUGCUUACACGUAAGACAAUGUGGAAAAAAAACAUGAAGCCGGCCGAAACAAAACUUUUGGCAAGACUUUGCUAGCUAGCAAGCAUUUUGUUGGAAAUCCGCACGGGGUUUUGACUUGGAUAAACAUCACGCCGAGGU